rnacentral:lncRNA from 1 species
CUCAUGAAUAAGUAAAUAACAUCUUUAAAAAAAGAGAAAACUUUAUUAAUUUUCACAUUUUUAUUUAUUUAUUUGAGAGCAAGAGAUAGCACAAGCAGGAGGAGCAAGAGAAGCAAACUCCCUGCUGAAUAGGGAGCCCUACAGGGUUACAGAAUUACUUAAAAAUACAGUUUUGUUUUGUUUUUUUUUCUUUAAGAUUUUUAAAAUUUGUCAGAGAGAGUGCACAAGCAAGGGGAGCAGUAGGCAGAGGGGAAGGCAGGCUCCCCUCUGAGCAGGGAGUCCAUUGUGGACCUGAGCCCAAGGCAGAUGCUUCACCAACUGAGUAUCCAGGCGCCCCAGCAAUCUGAAAACUUUAAAUACAUCCUCUGACGUUAAGUGUGCAAUGAAUUAAAACCUCUAAAAGUCCUGGAGUUUUUCUCUGAAAUGCACAAAGCAUUGCACUGAGUAAAAUUUAUUCUAACACUGCACCCAUCAGAGUAACCGGCGUUAAUUAAAAUGAAGCACCGCCUUGUUGAAUGCAAAUAUUUAAAGUGGGCAAGCCAGUCUUGGGAACGUGAGUUACGGGAGGACUUGGUGGGGUCCCCCCGUGCACCGAGCCCGGCAGACCCGCUCGCCAACGCACACACAACAACAUGGCCAGGAAAGCAUAAACAAGGCCCAGACGCUUCGCUCCGGAGCGGAUCUCCAGGGCGUUUUUCAAGUCAAAGAAAAAAUGCUGGACACUACUAUUUCUCAAACUACACCCAACACUCCUCAGGACUUUAGCACCUGCUGUCAUCUCCGCCUGGAAACUUUCUCCCCAGAUACUGAAGAGCUCAUGACACCUGUCACCUGCUUCAAGUCAAUGGUAGAUGUCACCUUUUCUUUUUUUCUUUCUUUCUUUCUUUUUUUUUUUUUUUUUUGUAAGAUUUUAUUUGAGAGAGGGACACCAGGGUGGCUCAGAGGUUGAGCGUUUGCCUUCUGCCCAGGGCAUGAUCCUGGAGUCCCUGGAUCGAGUCCUGCAUCUGGCUCCUGCGUGGAGCCUGCUUCUCCCUCUGCCUCUCUCUGUGUGUCUUUCAUGAAUAAAUAAAUAAAAUCUUAAAAAAAACUUUUGAGAGAGAAAGAACGAGCGGUGGGGAGGGCAGAGAGAGAAGCAGGCAGACUCCCCACUGAGCAGGGAGCCCACUCGGGGCUCAAUCCCAGGACCUCCGGGAUCGUGACUUGAGCCGAAGGCAGAUGCCCGACCCACUGAGCCACCCAGGUGCCCCUGACGUCACCUUUUCAUGGAACCUUCCCUGACAGCUCUAUUUAAAUGGAAACACUCGUCCUUCUUUCUUUUCUAUCCUUCCCGGAUUUCUUUCCAUAGUACUUAACACUUUCUAUUAUACACGAAUAACAGUAUACGUAUUAUCUACACGACACUCUUGUACACUAUAUAUUUUCACUAUUUGCAUUGUACUGUCUAUGACCUACCUAUCUCCUCCGCCCCUUACCUCCUGUUGACCCAGGGCAGGAACUUUGCUUCGUCCGCUGCUGCACCUGCGGAGCCCCGGACGGUGCCUGGUACCCAGCAGCGCUAGGUUAUCUGCAGGAAG